CAACUACAACUAAAAAAUGUUUUUAAAAAAGAAUGAUAUAUAAUAUCUGAUAUAUAUGUAUAUGCACAUAUAGCAUGCUGACAAUAUGUUUUGUCUAGAAAAUGAUGAAGUACAGGCAAAAUUAGCAUUGCAACUCUGCAGGAAGCCCCAUCCCUUUCUUUUAACUUCCCUCCACUCUACUUGCCUACAUGUACCCUCCACUACAGCCACAACAUUCUGUUAAAAUACCCAUCUUGCUCCUUCUUCCAACAGGAAGCUCCCUUUCCCUUUCCUCCAGCCACAUAAAUGGAACCCAUACAUAACAGGACCCAGCUUAAUACCACAUCUAGAACCACCCAGUGGGACUGGGGCUCCUGUUGCUUCAGCUGUAGAGCUUCUAGCAGAUGAAGGCUAGUGACUGAAUCCUUCUUAGCCAAGGCUAGUUUUUGGAAAAAGAGAGGCAUAUGUGGGUUCCUUGCAGAGUGGUGUGUGGGUAUGUCAUAUUUUGGUCACAGAUUACAAAGUUCCCAUCAGUAAUCCCAGCAAUUCUUUUUUUUUUUUUUUUUUUUUUUGACACUAUUCCAAAGGCUAUGGGAAAAGAUGCAAACUGAUUCUCCAACAGUGUUCAAGGUCUGAGGACUACUAGGAGAGCUGCAUGUGAAAAAUGCCGAUGAAGGAAGUUUAAAAACAUUAAACAGUCUAUGUAGGAAUCCUGAAUUUUUCAAAAGGGUGAGGGGUAGCUUGAGGAAUGCCAAAACUGUCAUCUGAGAGCCAUUCUCUGUACCUCCAGCCCAGGGGUGACCGUAACUAGAAGACCCUUGAUCUUCUUUAAAAAACAGUCCCCUCCUUGCCAUGAGUUCAUUUGCCUGAGAUGAAGUUUGAUAACGUUUGAUGAACCUUUGGGCACACAAGAGGAGCUGUGUUUACUUGAGGGCAGGUACACAUGUUUGAAUUCAGAACAUGGUGAUUGAAGGGUUCCAGGUGAAUUAUGGAGAUGUCAGCAAAGAAAAAAAUUCCCAUGAAAUAUCUCAACCUCCUUUGACUUCUCAUUACCCCUAGAUAUUCCUGUAAUAGAAACAUGUCAGAUGUUCUGGGGGUUCAGAGAAGAAUAGCUUGGUGGAGAGAUCAUUAGUCACAAGACCCAAGAGACACUACAGCAAAUAUACUGGGUUGGUCUUAGUGUGAUAAAAAGUGAGAGAGAUCAAAAUAUUACCAUACGAAAAUCAUUUGGAGAUGAUAAUGGUGACUGAGCCUGAAUGAUUGAGCAAAGAUUACAGAAAACAACUUUUAUCACUUGUGUAGAGGGUUCUCCAGGGAAUCUGCUUGUAAUUUUCUUGCAUCACUUGACAUUAAGGCCCUAGCUACAACAUCAUUGUUUCUUGGACAUAUUCCUAAUAUAUAAAGGAUAUUUACUUCUGAAGCAGAUGACAUUUCUUAUAUUUUAUCAAAAGUAAUACAAGAGUAACUUCUACCUGUAUGGUGGGUAGGAUUUUUGUUUUGUAUUGUUUAUUUGUUGUGAAUCAGACAGUGGUGUUUGUAGGAUGUUUUGAAAGACAGUGGCUUAUGAACUGAGAAAGUUUAUUUCAUAAGACUUGAAGGUUAAUGAUCCAAAGGACUAAUCCUCUGCCUUGUGAAUUUUCCUUUUAGAUGAGCAAAUUUUUAAAGAAAUGAGGAAUUGUAGGAAAGUUCUAGAAAUCAAUUGAAAUCCUAAGAACAAAAAUUAAGAAUUUUCAUUUUUUUAACAAAAGUAAGAAAAUAAAAAAUAAACCUGUAAAUCUAGUCUAAAA
rnacentral:lncRNA from 1 species